GACUUUGUGGCCUAGUGGUUAGGGCGUCUGUCUUACAUAAAAAAAACAACUUUAUGGAUCACAGAAGAUCCCCGGUUCAAUCCCGGGCGGAGUCA